rnacentral:rRNA from 1 species
UACGUAGGGGGCAAGCGUUGGUCCGGAUUUAUUGGGCGUAAAGCGCAGUGUAGGCGGCCAUGUAGGGUCUGACGUGAAAUCCCGAAGGCUCAACCUCGGCAGGUCGUUGGAAACCAUAUGGCUAGAGUCCGGAAGAGGAGAGUGGAAUUCCUGGUGUAGCGGUGAAAUGCGCAGAUAUCAGGAAGAACACCGAUGGCGAAGGCGGCUCUCUGGGACGGUACUGACGCUGAGACGCGGAAAGCGUGGGGAGCGAACAGG